rnacentral:rRNA from 1 species
UACAGAGGGGGCAAGCGUUGUUCGGAAUUACUGGGCGUAAAGGGCGCGUAGGCGGCCUUCUAAGUCGAACGUGAAAUCCCCGGGCUCAACCCGGGAACUGCAUUUGUGACUGCAUGGCUAGAGUUUGUCAGAGGGGGGUGGAAUUCCACGUGUAGCAGUGAAAUGCGUAGAUAUGUGGAGGAACACCGAUGGCGAAGGCAGCCCCCUGGGAUGUGACUGACGCUCAUGUACGAAAGCGUGGGGAGCAAACAGG